UAGGGAAUCUUCGGCAAUGGACGAAAGUCUGACCGAGCAACGCCGCGUGAGUGAAGAAGGUUUUCGGAUCGUAAAACUCUGUUGUUAGAGAAGAACAAGGACGUUAGUAACUGAACGUCCCCUGACGGUAUCUAACCAGAAAGCCACGGCUAACUACGUGCCAGCAGCCGCGGUAAUACGUAGGUGGCAAGCGUUGUCCGGAUUUAUUGGGCGUAAAGCGAGCGCAGGCGGAUUCUUAAGUCUGAUGUGAAAGCCCCCGGCUCAACCGGGGAGGGUUAUUUGAAACUGUGAGACUUGAGUGCAGAAGAGGAGAGUGGAAUUCCAUGUGUAGCGGUGAAAUGAGUAAAUAUAUGGAGAAACACCAGUGGCGAAGACGGCUCUCUGGUCUGUAACUGACACUGAGGCUCGAAGGCGUGGGGAGCAAACAGG
rnacentral:rRNA from 1 species